AAUUUUGCACAGUAUGACUAAAAUCUUGGAGUCAUAAAGGACAGAAGAAAGAAGUCAGUGAAGUUUAGCUGCUGUGCCCUGAGGGGUGAGGGAAAUGUGGUCGCCUAAAACACCAUCAAAGGUUGCUGCUUAAACACUUCCCUCAGCCAUAUAUGAAGGCUAAAUCAGAUAAAGAUCCCAGGAAGUGUGCAACAGGCACAAGAUUCAAAGGAAGCAGGCUGCUUUCUUGCAGCAAGACAAGGCAAGUUGGAAGAGAGGAUUAUUUUUCUUCUUCAAAGCUCUCACCCUCAGGAGGAUUCCUAUCAACUACUUUGGGAAAGAGUGCUGCAAAUACCGAAAGUCACAGUGGAUGUUAUGCUGGGUCAGAUUGAUGGCUAGGAGUGGGGAGCAGCUCAUAACAUUUCCUGACUAUCUUGUUGGCUUUUGGAAGACGCACGU
rnacentral:lncRNA from 1 species